AUACGGAGGGUGCGAGCGUUGUUCGGAAUCACUGGGCGUAAAGGGCGCGCAGGCGGAUUGGUAAGUCAGAUGUGAAAGCCCACGGCUUAACCGUGGAAGUGCAUUUGAAACUGUCAGUCUUGAGUACCAGAGGGGAAAGUGGAAUUCCCGGUGUAGAGGUGAAAUUCGUAGAUAUCGGGAGGAAUACCGGUGGCGAAGGCGACUUUCUGGCUGGAUUCUGACGCUGAGGCGCGAAAGCGUGGGGAGCAAACAGGAUUAGAUACCCUAGUAGUCC
rnacentral:rRNA from 1 species